UGUCAAAAAAGCUAUAGAAGUCUUUUCCUCAUACUUGAAGGAUGGAGGCCAUGAUGCCCGAGACAUUGUUCGAAAUAUUGGGAGUCUAGAACAAAUCCUAGAAGAAACUGACGUAAAUGAAACUACGUACCUAUCAAGUGACCGUGUCAAUGCCCUUCUUUAUAAAUCCACAGAUGACUUCAAAAGUCUUGAAAUUCAAGCAAAUAACACAGAGGCCAAGGUAAAUGCCUCUGUGUCGAACAUUAAAAUUAAGAUUUGCAUACCGAGAGAGUUCAACCUUCAGAAGAAUGAUACAGUUGUUUUCUCCACGAUUGAAAUGCCAAAAAAUAUUGCUGAUCUACUUACAUCUAAUGGCUCUUUUGGACAAACUUCAGAAGCAAAUUAUUCACUGUAUGAUGAUCUGCUGGUUGGCCUGAGUGUGGCUGGCAAGAAUUUUUCAGGCCUUCAACAUCGAGUCAGCAUCAGCAUAUAUCUCACAACAAGCCUGAUGAAACCCCAAAAACCAACAUGUGUGUUCUUAAAUACUACAAACAGUGAGUAUUAAACAUAAGAAACAUCAUGAGAAGUAACAUAAAUCAGAAUUCCUUUUUUGUUGCAGACAUUAUCUAUGUCAUUGAAUGUUGUAUU